CAGAUCAUCAAUGACAGGAUCUAUCCAUAUGCAGCCAUUUCCUAUGAAGAGUGGAAUGACCCUCCUGCUGUGAAGUGGGCUAGUGUGAGCAACCCGCUCUUCCUCCCACUGAUCCCACCACAGUCGCAAGGCUUCACUGCCAUUGUCCUCACCAUCUCACUGACCCUGCAGCUGCCUCAGAGGGUCAGCUGUCCAGCUCCAGAUCCCAGGAGUCACAGCAGAGGCAUGCGAUUGUUUCACAUCUGCAGACUCUGGGGAAAUGGCAAACCUCAAACGUGCUACAGAUCCCAGUACCUCUGAGGGUUAGAACUGUGCUUGGGACCCGAGUCAUGAGCCCAAGUACACAGCAGAGCACACGCUGCCAAGAUGUGUCCUGACAGUCCCUGAACAAGUCUUUGUUUUGGCUUUUUGAUAUGGUU
rnacentral:lncRNA from 1 species